GACGAACGCUGGCGGCGUGCCUAAUACAUGCAAGUUGAGCGCUGAAGGUUGGUACUUGUACCAACUGGAUGAGCAGCGAACGGGUGAGUAACGCGUGGGGAAUCUGCCUUUGAGCGGGGGACAACAUUUGGAAACGAAUGCUAAUACCGCAUAAAAACUUUAAACACAAGUUUUAAGUUUGAAAGAUGCAAUUGCAUCACUCAAAGAUGAUCCCGCGUUGUAUUAGCUAGUUGGUGAGGUAAAGGCUCACCAAGGCGAUGAUACAUAGCCGACCUGAGAGGGUGAUCGGCCACAUUGGGACUGAGACACGGCCCAAACUCCUACGGGAGGCAGCAGGAGGGAAUCUUCGGCAAUGGACGAAAGUCUGACCGAGCAACGCCGCGUGAGUGAAGAAGGGUUUCGGAUCGUAAAACUCUGUUGGUAGAGAAGAACGUUGGGGAGAGUGGAAAGCUCAUCAAGUGACGGUAACUACCCAGAAAGGGACGGCUAACUACGUG
rnacentral:rRNA from 1 species